rnacentral:rRNA from 1 species
UACGAAGGGGGCUAGCGUUGCUCGGAAUCACUGGGCGUAAAGGGCGCGUAGGCGGAUCUUUAAGUCGGGGGUGAAAGCCUGAGGCUCAACCUCAGAAUUGCCUUCGACACUGGAGAUCUUGAGACCGGAAGAGGUGAGUGGAACUGCGAGUGUAGAGGUGAAAUUCGUAGAUAUUCGGAAGAACACCAGUGGCGAAGGCGACUCACUGGCCCAUUACUGACGCUGAGGCUCGAAAGCGUGGGGAGCAAACAGG